rnacentral:rRNA from 1 species
UACGUAGGGGGCAAGCGUUGUCCGGAAUCAUUGGGCGUAAAGAGCGUGUAGGCGGCUCGAUAAGUCUGCUGUGAAAGUCCAGGGCUCAACCCUGGAAGGCCGGUGGAAACUGUCGGGCUAGAGUCCGGAAGAGGCGAGUGGAAUUCCCGGUGUAGCGGUGAAAUGCGCAGAUAUCGGGAGGAACACCAAUGGCGAAGGCAGCUCGCUGGGACGGUACUGACGCUGAGACGCGAAAGCGUGGGGAGCAAACCGG